rnacentral:rRNA from 1 species
UACAGAGGUCUCAAGCGUUGUUCGGAUUCAUUGGGCGUAAAGGGUGCGUAGGCGGCGCGGUAAGUCGGGUGUGAAAUCUCGGGGCUUAACUCCGAAACUGCAUUCGAUACUGCCGUGCUUGAGGACUGGAGAGGAGACUGGAAUUCACGGUGUAGCGGUGAAAUGCGUAGAUAUCGUGAGGAAGACCAGUGGCGAAGGCGGGUCUCUGGACAGUUCCUGACGCUGAGGCACGAAGGCCAGGGGAGCAAACGGG